GUGCAGCAGGCGCGAAAACUUCACACUGUGCGAAAGCACGAUGAGGGAAUCCCAAGUGCUUGCACGUAAGUGUAAGCUGUUUCUCUGUCUAAAACGCAGAGAGAGUAAGGGCUGGGUAAGACGGGUGCCAGCCGCCGCGGUAAUACCUGCAGCUCAAGUGGUGACCGUUAUUAUUGGGCCUAAAACGUCCGUAGCCGGUUUAAUAAAUGCCUGGGUAAAUUGUGUAGCUUAACUAUACGAAUUCCGGGUAGACUGUUAAACUUGAGACCGGGAGAAGUUAGAGGUACUCCUGGGGUAGAGGUGAAAUUCUGUAAUCCUAGGGGGACCACCAGUGGCGAAGGCGUCUAACUAGAACGGGUCUGACGGUGAGGGACGAAGCCCUGGGGCGC
rnacentral:rRNA from 1 species